rnacentral:rRNA from 1 species
CAGCAGUGGGGAAUAUUGCACGAAUGGGCGCAAGCCUGGAAUGCAGCCAUGCCGCGUGUAUGAAGAAGGCCUUCGGGUUGUAAAGUACUUUCAGCAGUGAGGAAGGCGGGUACGUUAAUAGCGUGCUUGUUUGACGUUAGCUGCAGAAGAAGCACCGGCUAACUCCGUGCCAGCAGCCGCGGUAAUACGGAGGGUGCGAGCGUUAAUCGGAAUUACUGGGCGUAAAAGCGCAUGCAGGUGGUUUGUUAAGUCAGAUGUGAAAGCCCGGGGCUCAACCUCGGAAUUGCAUUUGAAACUGGCAGACUAGAGUACUGUAGAGGGGGUAGAAUUUCAGGUGUAGCGGUGAAAAUGCGUAGAGAUCUGAAGGAAUACCGGUGGCGAAGGCGGCCCCCUCGGACAGAUACUGACACUCAGAUGCGAAAGCGUGGGGAGCAAACAGGAUUAGAUACCCUGGUAG